rnacentral:rRNA from 1 species
AUUGAACGCUGGCGGCAGGCUUAACACAUGCAAGUCGAGCGGAGAUGAGGUGCUUGCACCUUAUCUUAGCGGCGGACGGGUGAGUAAUGCUUAGGAAUCUGCCUAUUAGUGGGGGACAACAUUCCGAAAGGAAUGCUAAUACCGCAUACGUCCUACGGGGAGAAAAGACAGGGGGAUCUUCGGACCUUGCGCUAAUAGAUGAGCCUAAGUCGGAUUAGCUGGUUGGUGGGGUAAAGGCCUACCAAGGCGACGAUCUGUAGCGGGUCUGAGAGGAUGAUCCGCCACACUGGGACUGAGAAACGGCCCAGACUCCUACGGGAGGCAGCAGUGGGGAAUAUUGGACAAUGGGGGAACCCUGAUCCAGCCAUGCCGCGUGUGUGAAGAAGGCCUUAUGGUUGUAAAGCACUUUAAGCGAGGAGGAGGCUACUGAGACUAAUACUCUUGGAUAGUGGACGUUACUCGCAGAAUAAGCACCGGCUAACUCUGUG